rnacentral:rRNA from 1 species
GACGAACGCUGGCGGCGCGCUUAACACAUGCAAGUCGAGCGAAGCGGCCGACGGGUGAGUAACACGUGAGUAACCUGCCUUAGACAUUGGGAUAGCAUCGGGAAACCGGGAUUAAUACCAAAUGGUCUAAGAUGGACUCGCGUCCCAUUAGCUAGUUGGUGGGUAACGGCCCACCACGGCGAAGAUGGGUAGCCGGCCUGAGUGGGUGACCGGCCACAUUGGAACUGAGAAACGGUCCAAACUCUACGGGAUGCAGCAGUGGGGGAUAUUGCAAAAUGGCGGGAACUCUGAUGCAGCGACGCCGCGUGAACGAAGAAGGCUUUCGAGUCGUAAAGUUCUUUUAUAUGGGAAGCGGUACCAUAAGAAAAAGCCCCGGCUAACUACGUGCCAGCCGCCGCGGUAAUUC